CAAGAAAGUUGUGUCAUUGAAAUUUAAAAUUUAAUUGAUAGGAUGAAACCUUACCUUCAAGAAUUGGGUACCGUACUUGAGCAUAAGGUCAGUGUAGGAAUUGAAAUCGUACUCAUAUCUUCGUGAAGUAGGUCCAAAAUAUACAUUGGCGAUGUCGCAGCUACUCAAUGAAAUGAGAUAUAGACUUUUGGUUAAGAUGAAGUUUGUCUUGUUUG